rnacentral:rRNA from 1 species
GAUGAACGCUGGCGGCGUGCCUAAUACAUGCAAGUCGAGCGAACAGAUGAGGAGCUUGCUCCUCUGACGUUAGCGGCGGACGGGUGAGUAACACGUGGAUAACCUACCUAUAAGACUGGGAUAACUUCGGGAAGCCGGAUCUAAUACCGGAUAAUAUAUUCAACCGCAUGGGUCAAUGGAAAAAGAGGGUUUUGCUGUCAGAUAGAGAUGGAUCCGCGCCGCAUUAGCUAGUUGGUAAGGUAACGGCUUACCAAGGCAACGAUGCGGAGCCGACCUGAGAGGGUCAUCAGCCACACUGGAACUGAGACACGGUCCAGACUCCUACGGGAGGCAGCAGUAGGGAAUCUUCCGCGAUGGGCGAAAGCUUGACGGAGCAACGCCGCGUGAGUGAUGAAGGUCUUCGGAUCGUAAAACUCUGUUAUUCGGGAAGAACAAAUGUGUAAGUAACUAUGAACGUCUUGACGGUACCCAAUCAGAAAGCCACGGCUAACUACGUG